UUCAUUAAAUAUCCAUUUGAAACAGAUGCUGCUUCUAAAAAUAACUGAAGCAUAAUUUAAAACAUAUUCUUUAUUUUAUUUUAUUUAACACAUAAACUUAAAUCCUCAUUAUUUAAGCAAGUCCAUGUUCUUUUUCUGUGCGAAUAAAUGCACAAGAAUUGUCAUUAUGCAAAGUAAAUUUAAUAUUAAUCUUAAACAGGAAACCCUUCAAAUUACUACUGGCUAUUUAUAAUAUUGUUAAAGUAAACAUAUAAAAAAUUUUGAUUCAAUGAUGACUUAAAUGCCCUCUGGUAUUUUACAACAAGGAAAUCCUCGUUAAGUAAGCAGUUGUGGUGAAAUCCGAAUUCAAAUAAGUUAUACACUGUUAAAUGAUAGCUUGGUAAAGGAUAUAUGAUGAUUUACGUCAGAAGUAUUUUUCGUUUCUUCCCCAAGAGUAUUUAUAUCCAGUAGCCUACACUCAUAUGUUUGCCUACAAUGUUAUGAAACCGUCAUUUUCUGUCAAUUUACUGUUUGUCAAAUGUUUAAACAAAUCGAAAAAAAGGUUUCUACGUACCCCAAACAUAAUAUAUGUUCUUAAAUUGUUAACAUUCUAUUUUUGUGAAUUAUACUCAAACCACAUCUUUUAAUUCAUAAGCAUGAUUUGGCACAUUUUUUAAUGAGUAGUUUUCAACGCUUUCCAAUUAAGUUAUUUACCUGGCUGUUCAAUCGUCAUGAUACAUGUACGAGCAUCACAGAUGAGUCAGCAGUCGAAACAUGGAUUUUGCGUACUUGAUUCACAGGAUAAGAAUCGUCAAACUCAAUGUGAUAUUGGUUUCAUUCGGUACAGUAGUCUAUUAAUUCAAUUUCAGUACUUUUAUACAUUUUUAAAACCACACCAUAUCCCUAUAUUUGAUGCGUAAUACUGAUUUGUAAAGAGUAGGAGGAAAUGAGGUUAUUAUAUUAAUAGUACCUGAGAUUUUAUAACGAUUUCUCUAAAACUAUUUUCUAGAUAAUGUGGUAAGGUUGGUCUGACUUCGGUUAAUCUGACUUCGGUUGAGCAAAUAAAUUGAAAUGUCAUCAAAAUCCCUUUAGAACAUUCAGUAAUAUCCGCGUAUGCGAGCUUCAGAAAAAGAAAAAAACCGUUCAAGGAUCAUUUUGGUUUGUUUCGUAACGGCUACGAAUACAUCUUUUUUUUUUUGAAAAAAAGAUCAUAUUAUUAUGUUGAAUGUUUCACGCAUCUGAUAGAGAUACUUAAAAAUGCUUAGCGUUUAAAUUCUGGAUUGUUAUCCUUAAGUAAAGAAAAUCAAUCCUUGCGCACUGAAAAUAGAGCAUAAACAUGAGCAUUUUUCAUUGUAACUUUGCGAAAUAAAAAUCGAACAUAAGAGAGCGGUUCGUUUGAUUUGAAUUGAAUUACUCGUGUGUGUUUAUAUAGUAAUUAUAUGUUAUAAAGUAGUACAAGCUUUUUCUCCUAAUUCAUAAUACUUUGAUUAUACUAUUUGCAAGCGUAAUUUAACCUCAACUCUAGCAACAACAUAUAACGAGUACAACAAUCAUAUUGUUUGUUACCUUAUAAUCUAAACAUAUUUUUAAAAAUCGUAACAAAUCUGCCUUCUUAUAUUUUAAAAAUAACAUUAUAUUUCUAUUUCAACAUAAUCAUCGUAAAAUCAAUCCUAUGAUAAAAUAUUCAUUGCAUAGAUGUUAAUCAUUUCUUCAUGCCCCUUUCUUUAAAAAUAUGCGUGUUUAUAUAUUUUAUAUUCUAAUGCAUAUUGUUUAGGAUACAUUAUUAUCAUAUAAUAAUAUCAAAUAUUUCCAAUUCAGCUCUCCUUUACAAUUUACAAUUUUGUUUCAAGUAAAAAAUUAAUAAAUUUGUAAACUUGAACUACUAGUAGUUCUGGGACAAGAGAUUGUAAAUGGAAGAAUUAAUUUCAGCUUCUGAAGGAAAAAAGAUAUAUCCUUUUCUGUUAAUUUUGUUCUUGUAGACUUAGCAGAUAAUUCUCUGCUGUAAUAAAAAAUAAAAUAGCAUUACUACUGUUCAAAAGAAAAUCAGAAAGACAGAUAGAUUUGAAACAGUUAGUAUAUCUGUAUAGAGGUACAUACUAAUACAUAUCAUUCCGUUAAAUACUCACAAUUUGACCCUGCUUACUAAACAGCUUUUUGUAAAUACCUCCCUCCCCCCUUCCCCCCAUUAAACACACACAAUGAAUUGCGUAAUAAAAUAAUGUACUUUUGAUACAAUCAUUUGAUAGACAAGCUUGUACAAGACAUACUGAUCAUUCCUGCAAAUCUGAUUAUAAAUUAGCAAGCACGAUUUAAAACAAAAGUCAUAAACACCAGAUUUCUAGCUUUAAACAAAGCUCAAUCGAUCCUUAAGUCGACUAACAUGUCGAAACUUAACUUUUAUAAACAUU
rnacentral:lncRNA from 1 species